rnacentral:rRNA from 1 species
CACUGUACUAGUCAAUGCUCGUAGUUGGAUAUCUGGAUUGAGUUUGUUCGUGGUUUCCACAGCAAACUCAGUUCAUCCUUCUGUUAAAGCACCUUGUACUUGUACCGGGUGUCAGCUCAGAUAUAUUACCUUGAGAAAAUUAGAGUGUUUCAGGCAGGCAAGGCCGGAAUACAACAGCCUGGAAUAAUAGAAUUGACAUGACUCUGUGGGUGGCCAGAGAAGUGUAAUGUUUAAUAGGAACAGUUGGGGGCAUUAGUAUUUAAUUGUCAGAGGAAAAAUUCUUGGGAUUUUGUUAAAGACUAACUAAAGCGAAAGCUUUUA